GGUGGCUCCAUGGUAAGAGCGCUUGCCUUGCACGCAUGAAGCCCUGGGUUCAAUUCCUCAGCACCA
rnacentral:tRNA from 1 species